UUCAUACUAAAUUUAAUAUUACUCGCACUAUGUAAUUACUAAUUAGUUUACCAUUUAACUCGGGCAGUUGGCAAAAAAAAUGCGUUUCUAAAAAAACAUCGAACUCGUAGCUGACUUUGUAUUAUGUUAAGGUGAGGGCAUCAUUUCUCACCAGUGACAUCAGUUAAAUGGUAGAUCUAUUAUAUUUGAGUCUGUUGCCUCAAGUAACUAUAUAAGCUUUUUAACAAAACAAACAAAUAAUUGAGUACCAUUUUUUUUACCAUAAUGUAAACUGAUAAAUUCCAUGUAAUCCAAGGAAGAUGUAAGUAUUUAUUUCAUUCUGUUCUUUUGUAAUUUAAUUAGAGAUGCACCGGAUAUCCGGUUACUAUCCGGUAUCCGGCCUAUCCGGCCACUAUUUUACUAUCCGGCCGGAUACCGGAUAGAGACCUUCUAUCCGGCCGGAUACCGGAUAGUAACAUUGCUUGAUUUCGGAGUAAACAAAUUGGAUUUAAGAAACAGACACGGUCAUAAUCGUACUUGUUUAUUAUUUUAAUACAAUUUAAUCAUUCCACUGACUUGCACGCGCACUAGGGUUGCCAGAUGGUCGGGAUUUGGCGGGAUUUCCCAGAUUUUUAGCAUAUGUUCCCGAUUCCCGACAAAGUGUACACUGUCCCGAAAAACAGCACUUGUUAUAAAACAAUAAUUUCAAGUUCCGAACUGUCGUCAAGCGAGUGAGCUGACGUAGUGCCAAUAAUGUAAAAUAUCGUUGUUUUUAAUACAAUUACUUUAGUUUGAAUGUUCCCGACAUAAGGCCUAAAAUCCUGAAAAAUUGACAUUGUUUCCCGAUAAUAGCGCCUUUCGAUCUGGCAACCCUAACGCGCACUCAUUUCGAACCUAGAAAUGAGUCCGCGCGAACGUUUACUAGGAAACAGGUCAAACCUGCAGAAUGCGCACCUGAAAAACCGAAAUGUAGGUAUAGUUCCGCCGGCCGAAUAUCCGGCGGCCGGAUACCGGAUAUUCGGCCAGUGUCCAGGCCGGAUAUCCGGUAUCCGGCUAAACAACUAUCCGUUGCAUCUCUAAAUUUAAUACUUAGUGAGUUCACAAAUAUUAUGUUAUAAAACUUAUGAAUAAUUAAGACAUCAUUAUAUUUUGUUAUGAAUUCUGUACUGUUUGGUAACAUUGAAAAUACAUUAAUAAAUUAA